CAUUAGAUGGCUGAAAGUAAGUAUUGGUCUCUUAAACCAAUUUAUAGUAAAUUAACAUAUACUUCUAAUGA
rnacentral:tRNA from 1 species